GUGAAGACCACAGUUUCCUGUCGCGUGGAUGUGUUUCCUCUCUGGCCAUUGCCAUCCGCCCAAAUCUACAGACAUCCCGCAUGUUCCCGGGCUCGUCUCCCCAAUACAGGGCACCAAGGCUGUAGACUGCGCAGCCCUCCUGGAGACAGAUGGAAGCUCCUUGGGUCGACAGAUUACAGCUUCUGGAACCCCCUACUCCCUUCAACUCCGAGAUGGACACCCACUGUCCAGGGAGAGGAUGCCUGGAAAUAACAGCUGGGAUCUACAGUGGCCAAAGAGUUGUCUCCGUCUUGCUACAUCGACAAACUGGUGCUCCUGAGUGAGGAUUGUGCCCUGGGAUGGGGGAUUCAGUUUCUUCAUUUAUAGUUGGAAGUGGGUGAAGUGCCAGGAGCGACGGUACACUCCAGAGUGCUGUGCCCUGAUGGGCCUUUGAGUGGCCAGUGCAGUGGAUCAUCAGCCCUGUCUCCCAAGAGCUCCAGUCCCUUCUCCGGAGAGGAAGUGGGUCCACUGGCAGCUCAGGAGGCCAUAGCAGCUAAUAGCUGUGUCUUGGUUCCUGGUGAGAUCUUGGUUGACUCGGGGGUCCUGAGUGUGGCUUGUCUCUGCAGGAUUGUCACGUGUGCUCAACAGUCCUCCUCGGCUUUCCAGAAGAGGCUGGAACAGGGCCCUUGAAGAUGUUUGUGGACAUCAGAGGGCCAAAGACGACACAAAGUGAAACUGGAGACACCGCCCCCCCUUGGCAUCAUGAAACUGCCGAUGUUACUGGCUCAUGCAUGGGAGACACCAGCAUACAAAGUCUUGACACCAACACCUCAGAGGGCUGUGUUCUGUCCCCGUGACCAUCAUCUAGUGCCUGGAAAGACUAGUGACAAGAACUUGUUGCCAACUUCCUAUUACCUCCCUAACAGUUGUGCAAUAAACCCCAUAGGUUAAU
rnacentral:lncRNA from 1 species